UCCUCCUCCGCCACCUCCUCCACCUGGUGGGGGACCCCCGCCACCCCCCUCCUCCUCCUGGGGGAGGACCUCCACCACCGCCCCCGUUCCCUGGGGCUCCACCUCCGCCCAUGAUGGCCCCCUCCUGUCGUCAAGCUGCCUUACGGACUGGAACCCAAGAAGGUCUACAAGCCUGAAGUGGCCAUGAAGAGGUGAACUGGUCCAAGAUCGUGCCUCAAGAGAUGGCGGAGAACUGCUUCUGGAUCAAAGUGAAGGAGGAGAAGUUUGAGAAUCCAGACCUCCUGGCCCAGCUGUCCCUGAACUUCUCUUCCAAGACCAGAG